rnacentral:rRNA from 1 species
UAGCGUAUAUUAAAGUUGUUGCAGUUAGAACGCUCGUAGUCGGAUUUCGGGGCGGGCCGACCGGUCUGCCGAUGGGUACGCACUGGCCGGCGCGUCCUUCCUUCCGGAGACCGUGCCUACUCUUAACUGAGCGGGGGCGGGAGACGGAUCGUUUACUUUGAAAAAAUCAGAGUGUUUCAAGCAGGCAGCUCGCUCUUGCAUGGAUUAGCAUGGGAUAAUGAAAUAGGACUUUGGUGCUAUUUUGUUGGUUUCGAACACCGAAGUAAUGAUUAAAAGGGACAGUCAGGGGCACUCGUAUUCCGCCGAGAGAGGUGAAAUUCUCAGACCAGCGGAAGACGAACCACUGCGAAAGCAUUUG